rfam:Ictidomys tridecemlineatus contig074080, whole genome shotgun sequence.
UUUAAAAGGUGGAUAUUCCUUCUAUGUUUAUGUUGUUAUGAUUAAACAUAGAGGAAAUUCCACGUUUUCAG